CAAAAGAAAUCCUCUUAAAAAGCCUAAAGAAAAAUUUUGGUAUCAACAGAGUAAUUGCUCAAAUUGGAAAUUCAUUCGUAUACGAUAUACAGGAAGCCAAGGAAAAAUUUAAAGAAUGGAUGGUUAUUGAAAUAUACCGAUUUAAACCUGACAUUAGAGAAGAUUUGCUAAAGGCAGAUUAUAUUAUAAGCCAUGCGGGUGCCGGAACAAGCCUGGAAGCCUUGCAUUUAAAAAAAAAACUUAUAGUGGUAGUCAACGAAGUUUUGAUGGGUAACCACCAGAUGGAACUGGCUACCGAACUUGCCGAAAGCAAACAUGCGAUCUUUGCCACUUGUAGCUUAUGAACCUCCUUUAAACACACCGUAAAGGGGUAGUUACCAAUCAACUAUAGCAGUUUCUAAGCACCUUCCUUUGGCCGUUCUCGAUUA